UACGGAGGGGACUAGCGUUGUUCGGAAUUACUGGGCGUAAAGCGCACGUAGGCGGAUUUGUAAGUCAGGGGUGAAAUCCCGGGGCUCAACCCCGGAACUGCCUUUGAUACUGCGAAUCUCGAGUCCGGAAGAGGUGAGUGGAAUUCCUAGUGUAGAGGUGAAAUUCGUAGAUAUUCGCAAGAACACCAGUGGCGAAGGCGGCUCACUGGCCCGGUACUGACGCUGAGGUGCGAAAGCGUGGGGAGCAAAC
rnacentral:rRNA from 1 species